GAUGAACGCUGGCGGCGUGCUUAACACAUGCAAGUCGAACGGGAAAUAUUUCAUUGAGACUUCGGUGGAUUUGAUUUAUUUCUAGUGGCGGACGGGUGAGUAACGCGUGGGUAACCUGCCUUAUACAGGGGGAUAACAGUCAGAAAUGGCUGCUAAUACCGCAUAAGCGCACAGAGCUGCAUGGCUCAGUGUGAAAAACUCCGGUGGUAUAAGAUGGACCCGCGUUGGAUUAGCUUGUUGGUGGGGUAACGGCCCACCAAGGCGACGAUCCAUAGCCGGCCUGAGAGGGUGAACGGCCACAUUGGGACUGAGACACGGCCCAGACUCCUACGGGAGGCAGCAGUGGGGAAUAUUGCACAAUGGGGGAAACCCUGAUGCAGCGACGCCGCGUGAAGGAAGAAGUAUCUCGGUAUGUAAACUUCUAUCAGCAGGGAAGAUAGUGACGGU
rnacentral:rRNA from 1 species